UACGGAGGGUGCGAGCGUUGUCCGGAAUCACUGGGCGUAAAGGCCGCGUAGGCGGCGCGAGCAGUCGGUCUUGAAAGUCCGGAGCUCAACUCCGGAUCGGCGGUCGAUACUCUCGUGCUUGAGCACUGUAGAGGCAGGUGGAAUUCCGGGUGUAGCGGUGGAAUGCGUAGAGAUCCGGAAGAACACCGGUGGCGAAGGCGGCCUGCUGGGCAGUAGCUGACGCUGAUGCGCGACAGCGUGGGGAGCAAACAGG
rnacentral:rRNA from 1 species